rnacentral:rRNA from 1 species
AAUGAACGCUGGCGGCAGGCCUAACACAUGCAAGUCGAACGGUAACAGGAAGAAGCUUGCUUCUUUGCUGACGAGUGGCGGGCGGGUGAGUCAUGUCUGGGAAAUUGCUUGAUGGAGGGGGUUAACUACUGGAAACGGUACCUAAUACCGAAUAACGUCGCAAUACCAAAGAGGCGGCCUUUCGGGCGCCUUUCCAUCGGUUGCGCCCAGAUGGGCGUUGCUAGUAGGUGGGGUUACGGCUCACGUAGGCGACGAGCACUAGCGGCUCCGAGAGGGAGACCAGCAACCCGGGAACGGAGAAACGGCCCGGACUCCUACGGGGGGCCGCGGUGGGGAAUAUUGCACAAGGGGGGAAGGCCGAAUGCAGCAAUGCCGGGGGUAGGAAGAAGGCCUUCGGGUGGUAAAGUACUUUCAGCGGGAAGGAAGGGAGUAAAGUUUAUACGUUUGCACAUUGACGGUACCCGCAGAAGAAGCACCGGCUAACUCCGUG